GAUUUUGUGAAGGUGGUAUCAUUUUUGUAAAAGGUUUAUUCAUUUGUUUUUUGGCUGGAUCUAUGUCAUAUGGUUUUGGAUUACUAUAUCUCUGGGAUAAAUAUAUAGUAUUUGGUUUAGGAUGUAUAGGCGAGGGUGCUUGUGGUGUUUCUAUGUGUUCUAUAUUCGUUAUUUCUUCAUGAUUUCUGUCUAUUUUUUCUUCCAUUCUAUCUAACUGUUGUCCUAUUAUAUGUAAUGAUACAUUGGUCCAAUUGUUUUGUAAUGUGAUAUCUCUGGUGUGGUUUUUUGCUAUAUGUGUAGUAUCUACAAUCGGUUGCAUUCCAUGAGAUAUUUGGUUUUUUCUGAAAAAUAUUCUAUCUAGUGGUGGUCUUUCACAUUCAUGUGCUAAAUCACUAGGUUCUCCUGAAUUAC
rnacentral:lncRNA from 1 species